rnacentral:rRNA from 1 species
AAUGGCUGCAGUAAUUUGACUGUACAAAGGUAGCAUAAUCAUUAGUUUUUUAAUUAAAAGCUUGUAUGAAAGGUUGGACGAGAUAAAAUCUGUCUCUUUUUAAUGAAAUUAGAAUUUAAUUUUUAAGUUAAAAAGCUUAAAUAUAUAUAAAAGACGAGAAGACCCUAUAGAGUUUUAUAAUUUUAAUUUAAUAAUUAAUUUAGAUUUAAUAAUUUUAUUUUAUUUAAGAUUAUUUUAUUGGGGUAAUAAAAAGAUUAAAAUAAUUCUUUUUUACUUAAAUCAUUAAUAUAUGAAAUUUUAUGAUCCAUUAAGUUAUGAAUAUAAGAUUUAAUUACCUUAGGGAUAACAGCGUAAUUUUUUUUUAGAGUUCUUAUCGAUAAAAAAGUUUGCGACCUCGAUGUUGGAUUAAAGAUUAGUUUAGGUGUAGAAGUUUAAAUUUUUGGUCUGUUCGACCAUUGAAUCUUUACAUGAUCUGAGUUCAAACCGGUGUAAGCCAGGUUGGUUUCUAUCUUUAUAAAAAUUUUAUAUUUUAGUACGAAAGGACCAAAUAUAAAGUAUUAAAAUACUUAAUUUAUUGAAUAU